rnacentral:lncRNA from 1 species
AUGACGGGCUCGGCGACCAUCCUCUUCUGCCAUCUGUCUCCUCCCUACUUCAGUGGUUGUCGGUGGCCAGGGUCGCACACGAGGCAGGGGCGUUACGGUCGCAGAGCGCGCCUUUCCCCCCCUGUCAGCAGCCUGGGCGCAGGGACAACGCGGUUAGGGCGAAGCAGCGAAGCGGGGCGGCCUCGGGCCUCCCCUCCGGGGUCCUCGCCUCGGCAGGCGGGGUGCGCCCCCCUGUCCAGAAGCGUCCGGCCCCUGGCUCAGCCGAGGCGCGGGAGCGGGAGCGGGAGCGGGAGCGGGGCGACCCCGGCCGGCCGCCCCUGGGCCCCGCGCGGCCACACCGCCGUCCCCGCCGGCCCUCCUUCGCGGGGGGUCGGUGGGGGGAGGCAGCCGUGCCAGGCGGGGGUCCCGCGGGCCGUCGGCCACUGUCACCCCCACAACGGCGGAGGACGGCGGCUCGCCCGAGUCGCCCGCGACCCGGCCCCGUCUUCUGGCUCCGCGUUCUUAGAGGCAGCCGCCCCCCUCCGCCCCCCGACGUGGCCCCGGCUGGCUCCGGUGCCUCGGGCAUCGCGCCCCUGCACAAGCCCCGGGCGCCCCGGCACCUCUCUUCGGAGGCUUCUGGAAGGGAAGCCCGCGGCCUCCCGGUUUCCCCGUCACGGUGACCUCAACACGACCCUGGCCUCCCGCUGCCGCAAGGGACGCUGGGAGGACACGGGGUCGCCGGCGGCCCGCGGCUCUGGGGACGGCGGGACAGCGGGGGCUCACCAGGCCCGUCGCCUGGUCCCAGAAGCCGCCCCCCACCCCGCCCCCGCCCCCGCCCCCGCCCCCGCCCCCGCCCCCGCCCCCGGCGGCGCCGCGAGCUGCCGCUGUCCCCCCACCCCCACCCCCCGGGGCUCCCCUUUCCCUCAGACCCCCCUGCGGGCGACGGCGGGGGGAGGGGGGACCCGUGUGACGCGUGAACCGUCGCGUCCGCAGGGACCGCAAGGUGGCAUCAGGGGACCUGAGGGGAAGGGACUUGGGGGGGCGGGUCCUCUGACAGCGGGAGGGGCUGCUUCCCUCGGGCCUGGAGGAGGUCGGUCCCAGUGA